rnacentral:rRNA from 1 species
UACGUAGGGGGCAAGCGUUGUCCGGAUUUAUUGGGCGUAAAGGGCUCGUAGGCGGUUUGUCGCGUCGGGAGUGAAAACUCAGGGCUCAACCCUGAGCGUGCUUCCGAUACGGGCAGACUAGAGGUAUGCAGGGGAGAACGGAAUUCCUGGUGUAGCGGUGGAAUGCGCAGAUAUCAGGAGGAACACCGGUGGCGAAGGCGGUUCUCUGGGCAUUACCUGACGCUGAGGAGCGAAAGCAUGGGGAGCGAACAGG